GAGAUGAGUAUUUGCUUUUUGUAGAGUUUGCUUACAACUAGCUACUAGGUUAGCAUCUAAAUGGCUUCCUUUGAAGCAUUGUUUGGAAGGAGAUGUAGAUCCUGUUUAUUGGGAUGAUACAAGAGAAAGAACAUUUUGGGACCAGAAAGUGUGCAAAAGAUAUUGGAGAAAAUUUAGCUUAUUAAGAAACAGCUUCUUCUAGCUCAAAGCAGAUGCAUAAAUUAUGUUGAUAAUAGAAGGAAGAAUCUAAA
rnacentral:lncRNA from 1 species